CAGCCGUAAACUAUGCGCGUUAGGUGUAUCGGUGACCACGAGUUACCGAGGUGCCGAAGGGAAACCGUGAAACGUGCCGCCUGGGAAGUACGGUCGCAAGGCUGAAACUUAAAGGAAUUGGCGGGGGAGCACCACAACAGGUGGAGCCUGCGGUUUAAUUGGACUCAACGCCGGGAAGCUCACCGGAUAGGACAGCAGAAUGAUUGCCGGGCUGAAGACCCUGCAUGACUAGCUGAGAGGAGGUGCAUGGCGUAGUCGUGU
rnacentral:rRNA from 1 species